rnacentral:rRNA from 1 species
AUUGAACGCUGGCGGCAGGCCUAACACAUGCAAGUCGAACGAGUGGCGGACGGGUGAGUAAUGUCUGGGAAACUGCCCGAUGGAGGGGGAUAACUACUGGAAACGGUAGCUAAUACCGCAUACCAUCGGAUGUGCCCAGAUGUGAUUAGCUAGUAGGUGGGGUAACGGCUCACCUAGGCGACGAUCCCUAGCUGGUCUGAGAGGAUCACCAGCCACCCUGGAACUGAGACACGUGCCAGACUCCUACGGGAGGCAGCAGUGGGAAUUAUUGCACAAUUGGCGCAAGCCUGAUGCCGCCAUGCCGCGUGUAUGAAGAAGGCCUUCGGGUUGUAAAGUACUUUCAGCGGGGAGGCGUUACCCGCAGAAGAAGCAACGGCUAACUCCGUGCCAGCAGCCGCGGUAAUAC